UACAUAACUCGGUGAUUGCAUUUUACUAAAGAUUAUAUUGUACCUUCUACUACCAAAACGUUAUCCUGAGAAUAAGUGAGACAUCUCAUUUGAUUUUUGACUUAAGUCAAGUUUUUCGUGCCGUUGAAAAUGCCGUGUCGUCGAACCGUGGUGAGAUGCACAAAGAAAACAAUAAGUUGUCCGGUGCCUGCUCGAAGAAACUGUGAAUCUUUCUUUGUCACUGCAAUCCUUGGCGUGCAAAAUGUGAUUCAGCGUAUGAUCAGCUGGUGUCCGCCCGAGUGUCCGGCCGAACCGGCUUCCUCCGCCGACUCAGACUGCGAGCCUGCAGAGGAGGUGCCCGGCUGCAACUGUCCGCCCAACCCGGCCAAAUACCUGCGCCGCCUCUGGAAGAUCCAGGAGAAGAUCAUGUGCGCUCCGGCCACCCGCGUGGUGGUAGCACUGCUCGCCUGCCGCGCACUCCUUCAGACGCUCGGCGUCAAGGUCUGCUUCAUGAACUCAAUGUGAUUUGCUGCUCAAAUCCCCACCACUCGUCAUCUGUGCCGUAUGAUACUGAUUGCUAAAUUUGUGACGAUUCCGACACAUUUUUACGCUUUGACAGUUUUUUUUUUACUCAUGAUUAAUCAAGUGCAUUUUCGCCGCCACUUUGCAAAUAAUACACUAAAUAUUUGUUUUUCAA